rnacentral:miRNA from 1 species
AGGACACCCUGUUAAAUUUGAAUUUCAGAUAAACCACCAGUAACAUCUUAACGUAAGUAUGUUCCAUGCAAUAUUUGGGACAUACUUGUACUAAAAAGUAUCCACUGUUUUUCUGAAAUUCAAAUUCAAUGGAGUGUCCUGU